AUUUUUUUAAAAAAAUAGCAAACUCCUGAACCGUCCAUGAUGAGGAUUUUUCCAUCAGUAACAGCAGCGCCUCCACGUUUUUGAAUUACGAGGAGAUUCCUCUUGCCCCUGAAGCUGCUUGUGUUGGACUGCAAAUCAGGGUCGCUGACAAUGACAGUGGUGAAGAAGGAUAUAUAAUGACUUCAAUACAUUUUACAUGCAAGCUGCAUCUGGGACUAAGGGUGGCUCAAGUGAUUGAUUGGCAAUGAAGGGCUGUAGCCUCGAAUGUUGGCAGCAAGUCCUCAAGUGCUUUUUCCAAUUUCUUACCCUUAGAACGAGUUGUGAGCUCAUUUAAAUUGCUUCAGAAGGGAAGAGACUCUUAUACAAGUAAUUGGGAAUCAGUUCCAAUAACUCGAGGUAACAUUUUUUCAUAAAGGAAUUGAUGAGACACACCGGCUUGGUCUCCAAACUUCAAAGUGAAACCGAGCAGAAACUAGAUUGCUUGUUGUGGAUUCUGUGGUGAGCUUGUUUUUGGCUUUAUGCUCUGAAUAGUGAGACCAGAAGAAUAAAAUGGAAGUCUCAGUGGGGUGUUCUUACAUGUUUCUGGUGCUAGGUGGUCCAGCUUUUCAACAGUUAGAACCAGGCGAUGUGCUUGUCCGUGUAAAUGGCGAAGCAAGUUUUAAGUUUAUUCACACUAAAGAGUUGGGCCUUUGUAGAUGAAGAUGACUGAAUGAUUUAUUAAUUGUUGGCAUUUUCUGUGAGUACUUUUGUAAAUUUAAAAAUAAAAUCAUUUAUGCCGAGAUGAUUUUUUUUUUUUCAUGUGCCUCUUAGGCUUUGCAUAGGGGUUUAGUCAUGGAGGUGGAGGGUAAUGGGAUCGAAUCUAAUCUGAUGUUAUUUUA